rnacentral:rRNA from 1 species
UACGUAGGGUGCAAGCGUUAAUCGGAAUUACUGGGCGUAAAGCGUGCGCAGGCGGUGAUGUAAGACAGGUGUGAAAUCCCCGGGCUUAACCUGGGAACUGCAUUUGUGACUGCAUCGCUGGAGUGCGGCAGAGGGGGAUGGAAUUCCGCGUGUAGCAGUGAAAUGCGUAGAUAUGCGGAGGAACACCGAUGGCGAAGGCAUCCCCUGGGCCUGCACUGACGCUCAUGCAUGAAAGCGUGGGGAGCAAACAGG